CUUUUUCAAGGGAACAGCUUCUCCGAGGCCUUUGAUAAGCUUUGGAGCUCAUCCGUGGGAGAAUCCUGCUCUGGGGCCUUCUUGGACUGUGAGAAUUGGAAAACCUUUAAGGGUAAAGGCACAGUGGGAAGAGCAGCAUCUUUAGAAUUGUUGCUCCUGUGGCAGGAGGGCCCCUGGGCAGUCUGGGAGUCAAGAAGUUCACUGGGUUUAUCCUUGUAGUUGCCAUCUGUUUAUGACAAGUGGAGAUGGCUUUGCACUGACAGAGAGUCCACAUUUAUUUUAUUGUAAGACAUUUAUUUAUAUCUGAAAGGUGAGCCUUUUAAAAUCCUCAGUUAUGGUAGUGCGCAGGAGUACAGAGUCCUUGAGGGUGUAAACAUCCAACAGGACCUGGGCUACUCUCUAGCACACAGCCCUCUUGACACUCAUCAUGGCCAUGAACAUCGUCAGGCCCUUUCUGUUUCAUUCAUUUGUCUUCCAUUUGGCUCCCUCACUUCAUCCCUGCCUCGUUCUAGCAUCCCAUGCUCAAAGAGGCCUUACCUGGUUGCCCCACAUAAAAUCACCCCCAAUCUCUUAAAUCUCUUCACUCUAUUUGGUUGUCCUCUUUAUGUCCCCCAGAAUCUUUAUAGUCAUCUGACACUACCUUGCUCAUUUAUUUAGUUCCUUUUUGUAGAUCUGUCUUCAACCCUGGAACAUGAGCUACUCUUCUCCAUUCUAUCCCCAAGACUAGAACAAGCUGGGCCUACAGGAGAUGUUCAAUACGUGGUUGAAGAAUGCAUGAUGCUACUUGUGGGGAAGCCAACUUUGAUUUCACAGGUUCAUAUUGCCUCUGUAAUUUAACGCCAUUUUCCCCGAGAAAAAGAAGUUUAACUUAUGAUGACAUCCAACAUGCUUCAGAGCGCAAAUACGAUGAGCACUUCAGACAUGAGCAGCCUAUAUGCUGAACUUACAGAUGCAAAGGAUCUGGUCAACAAACAGCUGCUCCACCAAAAAACUCUGCAGAUACAAAGUGAGGGACAAUUCUGGAGAACUGGAAACCAAUUCCUACAAGGCUAAAAGCCUGCUGUUGCUGGCCUCAGGUGCCGGGCGACCGCGAAAGCCCCAGUCCUCAUGUCGGCCUUCCCUGGUGCAGACAGGCGCUACUGCCUACCUUCGGCCGCGAAGACCAACCCAUCAAACUCGCGCAGCUCUAAAGCACGCAGAGCCUGGUCAGGCGGUCAGCAA
rnacentral:lncRNA from 1 species